rnacentral:rRNA from 1 species
ACGCUCGACACCUACGGGGGGCAGCAGUGGGGAAUAUUGCACAAUGGGGGAAACCCUGAUGCAGCGACGCCGCGUGGAGGAAGAAGGUCUUCGGAUUGUAAACUCCUGUUGUUGGGGAAAAAGAGGAUGGUACCCAACAAGGAAGUGACGGCUAACUACGUGCCAGCACGCCGGUACGUAUCNGAGGCGGCGUCGGACGAAGGC